rnacentral:rRNA from 1 species
GCAAGUCUGGUGCCAGCAGCCGCGGUAAUUCCAGCUCCAAUAGCGUAUAUUAAAGUUGUUGUGGUUAAAAAGCUCGUAGUCGAACCUUGGGCCUGGCUGGCCGGUCCCCCUCACCGGGUGCACUGAUCCAGCCGGGCCUUUCCCUCUGUGGAACCCCAUGGCCUUCACUGGCUGUGUGGGGGAACCAGGACUUUUAC